rnacentral:rRNA from 1 species
GACGAACGCUGGCGGCGUGCUUAACACAUGCAAGUCGAACGGAAAGGCCCUGCUUUUGUGGGGUGCUCGAGUGGCGAACGGGUGAGUAACACGUGAGUAACCUGCCCUUGACUUUGGGAUAACUUCAGGAAACUGGGGCUAAUACCGGAUAGGAGCUCCUGCUGCAUGGUGGGGGUUGGAAAGUUUCGGCGGUUGGGGAUGGACUCGCGGCUUAUCAGCUUGUUGGUGGGGUAGUGGCUUACCAAGGCUUUGACGGGUAGCCGGCCUGAGAGGGUGACCGGCCACAUUGGGACUGAGAUACGGCCCAGACUCCUACGGGAGGCAGCAGUGGGGAAUAUUGCACAAUGGGCGGAAGCCUGAUGCAGCAACGCCGCGUGCGGGAUGACGGCCUUCGGGUUGUAAACCGCUUUCGCCUGUGACGAAGCGUGAGUGACGGUAAUGGGUAAAGAAGCACCGGCUAACUACGUGCCAGCAGCCGCGGUGAUACGUAGGGUGCGAGCGUUGUCCGGAUUUAUUGGGCGUAAAGGGCUCGUAGGUGGUUGAUCGCGUCGGAAGUGUAAUCUUGGGGCUUAACCCUGAGCGUGCCUUCGAUACGGGUUGACUUGAGGAAGGUAGGGGAGAAUGGAAUUCCUGGUGGAGCGGUGGAAUGCGCAGAUAUCAGGAGGAACACCAGUGGCGAAGGCGGUUCUCUGGGCCUUUCCUGGCGCUGAGGAGCGAAAGCGUGGGGAGCGAACAGGCUUAGAUACCCUGGUAGUCCACGCUGUAAACGGUGGGUACUAGGUGUGGGGUCCAUUCCACGGGUUCCGUGCCGUAGCUAACGCUUUAAGUACCCCGCCUGGGGAGUACGGCCGCAAGGCUAAAACUCAAAGGAAUUGACGGGGCCCCGCACAAGCGGCGGAGCAUGCGGAUUAAUUCGAUGCAACGCGUAGAACCUUACCUGGGUUUGACAUGGAUCGGGAGUGCUCAGAGAUGGGUGUGCCUCUUUUGGGGUCGGUUCACAGGUGGUGCAUGGCUGUCGUCAGCUCGUGUCGUGAGAUGUUGGGUUAAGUCCCGCAACGAGCGCAACCCUUGUUCACUGUUGCCAGCACGUUAUGGUGGGGACUCAGUGGAGACCGCCGGGGUCAACUCGGAGGAAGGUGGGGAUGACGUCAAGUCAUCAUGCCCCUUAUGUCCAGGGCUUCACGCAUGCUACAAUGGCUGGUACAGAGAGUGGCGAGCCUGUGAGGGUGAGCGAAUCUCGGAAAGCCGGUCUCAGUUCGGAUUGGGGUCUGCAACUCGACCUCAUGAAGUCGGAGUCGCUAGUAAUCGCAGAUCAGCAACGCUGCGGUGAAUACGUUCCCGGGGCU